GGUGCUCGUGGGUCAGGGCAGGCAGGGAAGCAUGGAGGUCUCUGCGCAGUCGGUCAGUGCCAGCCGAUGCAAUGGGGAAGGCUGGGUGUUUCAGUCCUUCUGGAGCAGAAAACUUGCCAUUUUUAACCAUUUCCUUUUGAAAGUUCGUUAGAAACAUCCCCAAAUCUAGAGCGACACGCUGGCAGGCACACAAUGAACCUCGGCCCAGAUCCAGAUGCGCGUGCUUACAUCUCGAGUGUGUGGAGUGAUCCACAGGCAUUGAUGGGAUUGCUAAAGGCUUGGAGUUAACGAUGGCCUUAAGUGGGUGUUCAGCCCGAGAUCCUAUUCAUCGCGCAGAAGUGGUCACUGAGCAGCUUGUGCGAGCCAACGUUAGCCCAUGGAUCAUCUCAAGUGGUCACUCCAGCUGGUUAUUAUUCCUUAUUGGUAGCGUGUGACUGAUCACCGAAAUUACCCUCUGUUGCUUCUGCGCUCUGAUUAGAUUCCUGCAAUUUUGGAAGAAGUAGGAUAAUAAAUAACAAAUCAUGAGGAGCGAAUAACAAGUGCCUCUGUUUGUGCCGAGGGGUCCUUCUUUGCAUGCCGAAACGAGGAUUUAUCGGCUGUUGCUCUCCUCUGCCUGCUAUUUUUUAUCAGUGCAAUGAGUUUAGUUGUGUUUUUCCCAGCAGCAGCUCAGGUCUUGCUGAAGCAAAGAGCUGUUUGCAACCUGAAUGUGCGUUAGCCGGGGGAGCUGGCAGCAUUUGGCCAGCUCUGAAUCCGCUGAAAAGCCUUUAAGAGAAGGAGAAGGGGAAAAAAAAAAUAUAUAAAUAAAGCUGCGGGGAGGAACCCAACCCUAAUGCUUUUUGUUCCAGCAGCUUUCUGCCACCAGUUAAAGAAUCAAAUAUGAUCAGCCACGUAGAGAAAGGAAAUAAAGACUGGGUUUGCUUGAUGUUGCUACUUUCUUUGGCUGUGUUUUUUGUCCCGGUGCACGCGGGCUGCUGCUGC